UGGGGAAUCUUGGACAAUGGGCGCAAGCCUGAUCCAGCCAUGCCGCGUGGAUGAUGAAGGCCUUAGGGUUGUAAAAUCCUUUCGCCGAGGACGAUAAUGACGGUACUCGGAGAAGAAGCUCCGGCUAACUUCGUGCCAGCAGCCGCGGUAAUACGAAGGGGGCUAGCGUUGUUCGGAAUUACUGGGCGUAAAGCGUACGUAGGCGGUGACUCAAGUCAGAGGUGAAAGCCUGGAGCUCAACUCCAGAACUGCCUUUGAAACUAGGUCGCUAGAAUCACGGAGAGGUGAGUGGAAUUCCGAGUGUAGAGGUGAAAUUCGUAGAUAUUCGGAAGAACACCAGUGGCGAAGGCGGCUCACUGGACGUGUAUUGACGCUGAGGUACGAAAGCGUGGGGAGCAAACAGGAUUAGAUACCCUGGUAGUCCCUGAGCGGGCUGGCAAGGCGCAU
rnacentral:rRNA from 1 species